UAGGGAAUCUUCGGCAAUGGACGGAAGUCUGACCGAGCAACGCCGCGUGAGUGAAGAAGGUUUUCGGAUCGUAAAGCUCUGUUGUAAGAGAAGAACGAGUGUGAGAGUGGAAAGUUCACACUGUGACGGUAUCUUACCAGAAGGGGACGGCUAACUACGUGCCAGCAGCCGCGGUAAUACGUAGGUCCCGAGCGUUGUCCGGAUUUAUUGGGCGUAAAGCGAGCGCAGGCGGUUAGAUAAGUCUGAAGUUAAAGGCUGUGGCUCAACCAUAGUUCGCUUUGGAAACUGUCAAACUUGAGUGCAGAAGGGGAGAGUGGAAUUCCAUGUGUAGCGGUGAAAUGCGUAGAUAUAUGGAGGAACACCGGUGGCGAAAGCGGCUCUCUGGUCUGUAACUGACGCUGAGGCUCGAAAGCGUGGGGAGCGAACAGGAUUAGAUACCCUGGUAGUCCACGCCGUAAACGAUGAGUGCUAGGUGUUGGAUCCUUUCCGGGAUUCAGUGCCGCAGCUAACGCAUUAAGCACUCCGCCUGGGGAGUACGACCGCAAGGUUG
rnacentral:rRNA from 1 species